rnacentral:rRNA from 1 species
GAUGAACGCUAGCUACAGGCUUAACAUAUGCAAGUCGAGGGGUAACGAGAGGAAAGCUUGCUUUCCUUGUCGACGACCGGCGCACGGGUGAGUAACGCGUAUCCAACCUGCCACCAACUAAGGAAUAACUUUGCGUAAGUAAGACUAAUACCUCAUAAUUUCCUCAGAUGAGAUCUGACGAGGAAUACAGAUUUCUCGGUCGUGGAUGGGGAUGCGUCUGAUUAGCUUGUUGGCGGGGUAACUGCCCACCAAGGCAACGAUCAGUAGGGGUUCUGAGAGGAAGGUCCCCCACAUUGGAACUGAGACACGGUCCAAACUCCUACGGGAGGCAGCAGUGAGGAAUAGUGGUCAAUGGGCGGAAGCCUGAACCAGCCAAGUAGCGUGCAUGAUGACGUCCCUAUGGGUUGUAAACUGCUUUUAUACAGGAAUAAAGUUAGCCACGUGUGGUUAUUUGUAGGUACUGUAUGAAUAAGGACCGGCUAAUUCCGUGCCAGCCGCCGCAGUAA